rnacentral:rRNA from 1 species
UACGAAGGGUGCAAGCGUUACUCGGAAUUACUGGGCGUAAAGCGUGCGUAGGUGGUUUGUUAAGUCUGAUGUGAAAGCCCUGGGCUCAACCUGGGAAUGGCAUCCGAUACUGGAGGGCUUGAAUCCGGGAGAGGGAUGCAGAAUUCCAGGUGUAGCGGUGAAAUGCGUAGAUAUCUGGAGGAAUACCGGUGGCGAAGGCGGCAUCCUGGACCGGCAUUGACGCUGAGGAGCGAAAGCUAGGGGAGCAAACGGG